CAGCUGCACCAGUUUACAUUCUCACCAACAGUGUAGGUCAUAACUUCAUGUGAGUCAGCAUGUGGGUGGAUAAGAGACUUCUGGAGCUAUUCCUUCAUCGGAGCAGCAGCCAAAUGAUUAAGUGUGAACACAAAAUGAAGACUUCCAGGCAUGCAAGAAGCCAAAAACAUUAUUUCCCAUCAACUCUUUCUCAGGAAGCUGUUGGGAAAGG